rfam:Otolemur garnettii contig002956, whole genome shotgun sequence.
AUUGCUUCUCAGCCUUUCAGCUAAGAUCAAAUAUAGUAUCUGUUCUCAUUAGUUUAAUAUCUAAUCUAUUUGAGGACAAUAGAGAGUGGCCACAAAGUUCAUGUGCAAUUUUAAAUACAUUAGAUCAAUUUUUAGAGCAAGGAGAUAAAGUAAGAGCUUGUUCUGUCAACUCUGUACAUCAUCCUGGUAUUGCAGUACCUCUAGGAAUGGCGUAGCCCUC